UAGGGAAUCUUCGGCAAUGGACGAAAGUCUGACCGAGCAACGCCGCGUGAGUGAAGAAGGCUUUCGGAUCGUAAAACUCUGUUGUUAGAGAAGAACAAGGACGUUAGUAACUGAACGUCCCCUGACGGUAUCUAACCAGAAAGCCACGGCUAACUACGUGCCAGCAGCCGCGGUAAUACGUAGGUGGCAAGCGUUGUCCGGAUUUAUUGGGCGUAAAGCGAGCGCAGGCGGUUUCUUAAGUCUGAUGUGAAAGCCCCCGGCUCAACCGGGGAGGGUCAUUGGAAACUGGGAGACUUGAGUGCAGAAGAGGAGAGUGGAAUUCCAUGUGUAGCGGUGAAAUGCAUAGAUAUAUGGAGGAACACCAGUGGCGAAGGCGGCUCUCUGGUCUGUAACUGACGCUGAGGCUCGAAAGCGUGGGGAGCAAACAGG
rnacentral:rRNA from 1 species